rnacentral:snoRNA from 8 species
AAGACUAUACUUUCAGGAAUCAUUUCUAUAGUUCGUUACUUGAGAAAUGUGUGUCUAAAGUGGUAGGUCUCGCUAUCCAUGAUGACGAUUCAAGAUAUUCCCGUUCA